rnacentral:misc_RNA from 1 species
GGUAGUAAAAGUCGUAACAAGGUCUCCGUUGGUGAACCAGCGGAGGGAUCAUUACAGGACUCGCAAGACUCCUACAACCCUGUGAACUUAACUAUAAGCACGUUGCUUCGGCGGGUGUCUCGGAGGGGGUUCUCCCUCCCCGAGACGCUAACCCGCCGGCAGCCUACUAUACUCUGUCUCUUUGCGUUGGCAUCUCGAGUACAAUCAAACAAGUUAAAACUUUCAACAACGGAUCUCUUGGUUCUG